CGUAACAAGGUCUCCGUUGGUGAACCAGCGGAGGGAUCAUUACCGAG
rnacentral:rRNA from 1 species